rnacentral:rRNA from 1 species
AGAAUCAACGCUGGCGGCGUGCCUAACACAUGCAAGUCGAACGAGAAAGUGGAGCAAUCCAUGAGUAAAGUGGCGCACGGGUGAGUAACACGUGACUAACCUACCCUUGAGUGGGGGAUAAACCCUAGAGAAAUCUGGGCUAAUACCGCAUAAUACCUUCGGGUCAAAGGAGCAAUUCGCUUAAGGAGGGGGUCGCGGCCGAUUAGUUAGUUGGCGGGGUAAUGGCCCACCAAGACUGUGAUCGGUA